UACGUAGGGUGCAAGCGUUUAAUCGGAAUUACUGGGCGUAAAGCGUGCGCAGGCGGUUGUGCAAGACAGAUGUGAAAUCCCCGGCUCAACCUGGGAAUUGCAUUUGUGACUGCACGGCUAGAGUGUGUCAGAGGGGGGUAGAAUUCCACGUGUAGCAGUGAAAUGCGUAGAGAUGUGGAGGAAUACCGAUGGCGAAGGCAGCCCCCUGGGAUAACACUGACGCUCAUGCAACGAAAGCGUGGGGAGCAACAGG
rnacentral:rRNA from 1 species